rnacentral:misc_RNA from 1 species
GAUGAAGAACGCAGCGAAAUGCGAUAAGUAAUUUGAAUUGCAGAAUUCAGUGAAUCAUCGAAUCUUUGAACGCACCUUGCGCUCCUUGGUAUUCCGAGGAGCAUGCCUGUUUGAGUGUCAUGAAAUUCUCAACCUUUCUGGCUUUUGCUAGUCAGGCUUGGAUUAUGGGAGCUGCUGGCUUUUGAAGUCGGCUCUUCUAAAAUGUAUUAGCAAGAUCAUUGCUGCUCAUCAUUGGUAUGAUAAUUAUCUAUAUCAUUGAGAGUCAGUUUCCUUUAUUGGAAGAUUUUGCUCCUAACGGUCUUUAGCAAGACAACAUUUGACGAUUUUGACCUCAAAUCAGGUAGGACUACCCGCUGAACUUAAGCAUAUCAAUAAGCGGAGGA